GCCGAGGUAGCUCAGCUAGGUAGAGCAGCGGACUGAAAAUCCGCGUGUCCCCAGUUCGAUCCUGGGCCUCGGCACCA
rnacentral:tRNA from 1 species